CUACGGGAUGCUGCAGUAAGGAAUAUUGCGCAAUGGAGGCAACUCUGACGCAGCCAUGCCGCGUGCAGGAAGAAGGCCUUAUGGGUCGUAAACUGCUUUUAUUUAGGAAUAAACCCCCGAACGUGUUCGGGGCUGAAGGUACUAAACGAAUAAGCACCGGCUAACUCCGUGCCAGCAGCCGCGGUAAUACGGAGGGUGCAAGCGUUAUCCGGAUUUAUUGGGUUUAAAGGGUGCGCAGGCGGGCUAUUAAGUCAGUGGUGAAAUCCCGGGGCUCAACUCCGGAACUGCCAUUGAUACUGAUAGUCUUGAGUUUGGUUGAAGUGGGCGGAAUGUAGCAUGUAGCGGUGAGAUGCAUAGAUAUGCUACAGAACACCAAUCGCGAAGGCAGCUCACUAAGCCAAAACUGACGCUCAUGCACGAAAGCGUGGGGAUCAAACAGGAUUAGAUACCCUGGUAGUC
rnacentral:rRNA from 1 species